GCAUCGAUGAAGAACGUAUUCGAAAUGCGAUACUUGGUGUGAAUUGCACAAUCCCCGUGAACCAUCGAGUCUUUGAACGCAAGUUGCGCCCGAAGCCAUUAGGCCGAGGGCACGUCUUGCCUGGGCGUCAC
rnacentral:rRNA from 1 species